GAUGAACGCUGGCGGCGUGCCUAAUACAUGCAAGUCGAGCGAACAGAUAAGGAGCUUGCUCCUUUGACGUUAGCGGCGGACGGGUGAGUAACACGUGGAUAACCUACCUAUAAGACUGGGAUAACUUCGGGAAACCGGAGCUAAUACCGGAUAACAUAUUGAACCGCAUGGUUCAAUAGUGAAAGGCGGCUUUGCUGUCACUUAUAGAUGGAUCCGCGCCGUAUUAGCUAGUUGGUAAGGUAACGGCUUACCAAGGCAACGAUACGUAGCCGACCUGAGAGGGUGAUCGGCCACACUGGAACUGAGACACGGUCCAGACUCCUACGGGAGGCAGCAGUAGGGAAUCUUCCGCAAUGGGCGAAAGCCUGACGGAGCAACGCCGCGUGAGUGAUGAAGGUCUUCGGAUCGUAAAACUCUGUUAUCAGGGAAGAACAAAUGUGUAAGUAACUGUGCACAUCUUGACGGUACCUGAUCAGAAAGCCACGGCUAACUACGUGCCAGCAGCCGCGGUAAUACGUAGGUGGCAAGCGUUAUCCGGAAUUAUUGGGCGUAAAGCGCGCGUAGGCGGUUUUUUAAGUCUGAUGUGAAAGCCCACGGCUCAACCGUGGAGGGUCAUUGGAAACUGGAAAACUUGAGUGCAGAAGAGGAAAGUGGAAUUCCAUGUGUAGCGGUGAAAUGCGCAGAGAUAUGGAGGAACACCAGUGGCGAAGGCGACUUGUCUGGUCUGUAACUGACGCUGAUGUGCGAAAGCGUGGGGAUCAAACAGGAUUAGAUACCCUGGUAGUCCACGCCGUAAACGAUGAGUGCUAAGUGUUAGGGGGUUUCCGCCCCUUAGUGCUGCAGCUAACGCAUUAAGCACUCCGCCUGGGGAGUACGACCGCAAGGUUGAAACUCAAAGGAAUUGACGGGGACCCGCACAAGCGGUGGAGCAUGUGGUUUAAUUCGAAGCAACGCGAAGAACCUUACCAAAUCUUGACAUCCUUUGACCGCUCUAGAGAUAGAGUCUUCCCCUUCGGGGGACAAAGUGACAGGUGGUGCAUGGUUGUCGUCAGCUCGUGUCGUGAGAUGUUGGGUUAAGUCCCGCAACGAGCGCAACCCUUAAGCUUAGUUGCCAUCAUUAAGUUGGGCACUCUAAGUUGACUGCCGGUGACAAACCGGAGGAAGGUGGGGAUGACGUCAAAUCAUCAUGCCCCUUAUGAUUUGGGCUACACACGUGCUACAAUGGACAAUACAAAGGGCAGCUAAACCGCGAGGUCAAGCAAAUCCCAUAAAGUUGUUCUCAGUUCGGAUUGUAGUCUGCAACUCGACUACAUGAAGCUGGAAUCGCUAGUAAUCGUAGAUCAGCAUGCUACGGUGAAUACGUUCCCGGGUCU
rnacentral:rRNA from 1 species